rnacentral:rRNA from 1 species
UUGGACCUGAUAUCAAACAAGACUACCCGCUGAACUUAAGCAUAUCAUUAAGCGGAGGAAAAGAAACUAACAAGGAUUCCCCCAGUAACGGCGAGUGAAGCGGGAAGAGCUCUAGCUUAAAGUAUCCA